CAUAUUUGAGCAAGGAGAAGUAGGAAGUGCCGCCCCACCUUCUCCAGUGGCAGGAUGUGAGCCACCAGCAAGGAGGUACUCCAAUAAGGCAUCCAAUAAGUUUGGAAGAGUGGGCACACCGGCGAAGAAACCACCGAAGACUGUAUUUCCAUCCCAGGUUGCUGCUCUCUAGGCUUCAUCACUGGGAACUGACUUCCCACUUCUGCUGCUCCUUUGGCAAGCACUGUGUACACCUUUCACCUCUCCUUCAAGGAACAUUCUAGAGUGCUGUGAGAACACGUCUGAUUAUUCUACAUUUGAAGGCUCCUGCUUAUCUCCCUGGGAAAUGUCAGCUAGAUUUCUCAUAGCUCUGGGAUCUGUCACUGUCCAACUGGGCACUGUGGAAUGUCCAGCCCUGCAGUCUGAGGAGUCCUGUUCUUAAUCCCACCAGGCAGAAGCAUCAGGGAGAAUAAGAAGUCAGCCUGAGGAGCUGGAUAGCUUUUCAUGUGACCCUGGGAAGUUGGUAAUAUUUGGAACUGAAAGAAAGCCUAAGGAAUCCUUGUCUGCUGCUUCUCAUCUGUAGAUAACAGCCAGGCCCGAAAAUCUUCUUUGCUGAGGUCACACAGUGGGGAGUGGCAAGGCAAGGAUAAACUGUGGAUUCCCAUCUACAGGUCCUCUUUAGGGAAAGGGAGACAGGAAAUGUUCACAAGGAAGUUAAUAAUUGCAUUUCUUAGAAUGAAACAAAGUUAUACACCAUUUGUAUUAGUCAGCUUUGCAUCACUGUUACAAACACCCUGAGUAAACAAUUCAUGGGAAGAGAAAGUCUAUUUUGACUUAUGAUUCCAGCCUGCAUUGGACUCCUGCACUGGAUGAACUGUGACACAGACAUUAUAGUGUGGACACAGAGCAAAGAAGGUUGGUCACUUUAUAGUGGCUGAAAAACUGUGGUCCAGCAUCCACUUCUAGGCCAUACCCCCAGUUAUCUAACCUCCUCUCAUUAGACUCCACCUCUGGAACAUUAUACUCUUUCUCAUAUUAUAUCACAGGCUGAGACCAAAGCCUUAAACCAGGAGCUUUUGGGAGACAUUCCAGCUACAAAUUUUAGGACUGCCAUCUCCCCUUGAACCUGUGGUGACAGAAACAACAGCACGUCUCGUCCUCACAUCAGAAACUGUCAGUUCAUAUUGCUUCAGUAGAAUACAGUAGAGCCCUAGUGGUAUGGCACACUCUGCAAGCUGACACAGGUUGCUAUUGUCCAUGCAAGUAUGACUGGGUAUCUCUUUCCUCUGUUUUCUUGAGUAAAAGGAAUCUAUUGAUUUUGCUCACUAUACUUUUAUUUUAACCUAACAUUUGAAAGAACAUAAAUCUGCUCAAGCUCCAAACUACAUGAAUAAAGUGUAAAACUCAAGGAAGCAAAACUAUAGGACUUUUAAAAUUUGUGACAGAGCAGUAGAGCCAUUGAGAGAUCUUUUGGAAGCUAACUUCCUCAGUCAGAAAGUAAUCAGGUAAGACAGGAAAGGAUUCCAUGGGUUUCCCCGAAAGAUGGAUUUUCAGUUAAGAAAAGCAAUCCUUAGCUGCUGACAUCCCGAGCAACCUAGUCUUUUUAAAAUGUGGGUGAGGCAUUUGUGGCCAAUGGGACACCAAGAGAAGCCCAGAGACAGGUCAUUUAGUGUGGAGCAAAGGGUAGUUUUCAUCUGUUUAAGCUCAGUUCCUCUUCAUGGUUUUGUUUGUUUUGUUUUUGUUUUUUGUUUAUCAUUGUUUGCCUAAAUAAAAUUAUUUUCAUCCCUUUGAUUCAUGGCGAUAACAUUUACAAAAGAAACAUAAUUAUCAUUUUAUAGAAGGCUUCCACACACAGUGCUCACUUAUUAAUCAGUAUAUGCUAUGUGUAGAUACUCUUUGUGGAUGAAAAGACUCAGAGCAAAGGCCACAAUAUGGUUGUUCAGAGUACAGGGUAGAGAAUCCUAGACUUAGUUGAGCAGGCUGUGUAGCUUUUCAAAAUCCCAGUUUCUGCUUCGGUAGGGUGUUUCAGUAUUAGAGUACCUUCAUAAAAGAUAUGUGAAAAGAAGCAAGUGAUGGAAUUGAAAAGUUUCUGCACCCUGAUAAGCCUCUUCGAUGAUGCAGCAAUCCAAAUCAGACCAAAUCAAACAGAAUUUAAAAAGCCCAUGUUUAAUGGAUAUAACGCUCCUGGACGGCCUUUCAGUCCCUCAGAGAGGAGACAGGAGAGACUGGAAAACCACAUGUCUAUUUUCUGGGAGGCAGUUUAAAUAACCUGUGGGAGUGGUCUUGAGCAUCUCUGGAG
ensembl:lncRNA